rnacentral:tRNA from 1 species
UCCCUGGUGGUCCAGUGGCUAAGACUCCGAGCUCCCUAUGCAGGGGGUCCAGGUUCAAUCCCUGGUCAGGGAG